AAGCUCGUAGUUGAAUUUCGGGGUUAGUAGGUUGGUUCAUGCCUCUGGUAUGUACUGGUCUCACUGAUUCCUCCUUCCUUAUGAACCGUAAUGCCAUUAAUUUGGUGUUGCGGGGAAUUUGGACUGUUACUUUGAAAAAAUUAGAGUGUUUAAAGCAAGCUAACGCUUGAAUACAUUAGCAUGGAAUAAUGAAAUAGGACGUUCGAUCUUAUUUUGUUUGGUUUUCUUAGGUAUUGACGUAAUGAUUAAUAGGGAUAGUUGGG
rnacentral:rRNA from 1 species